UAAACUGUCACUAAAGGGCCCUAUACCGACGAAACUGUCGAUAUAGGUGUUCUUGGGCUGUUCUUGAGGAAACAAAGAACAUUAAUCAGUCGCUAAGGUGCUAAGUUUGACCAUAAUUAAAUUAGUGUUGUUAAUGAUUUCUGGGCUUGCUUUUUCUCUAAUGUUGUAGUAUUAAUGACACACUACAAAUUAAUUAAUUUUCAUGGCCAAAACAUAACAAUCCUGUGAGAUCUAAGAUGCAGAAAUCGUUGUCAGACCUGUUCUUGAGUUUCCGGGCUGCCCAAAAACUCAAGCAGGGUUGAGGUACCUACUUUGGGCCAUUAUAGAUUGAGUCUUGUGUUUGCUUUGUGUGAUCUAGAAGUUCCAACAUAUAGAAGGGAUGUCAGACUACAAUUCUAUAUCAUCAAUCGAGUCUAACAACAACAUAUAUAAGAAAUCAUGGCUGGUCAAAGUACCUGUCAGGUACGUGUUCAUGAACAAUCUGGGUUUUCCAGAUUGUUCUUCAGACAGAUCGGUUAACUCAGUUUGACUAUGAUUAAUUUCUAUUAUGUUCAUGAUCUGGGUAAUAUAAAAGUAUGGGUGUGUAGAACGCAUGUCAGGCUACAAGAUUAAACCACUAACAUGGCCAUUAACCUUACCAGUAGCAAUAUCAGAGGCCUUAAAGAUGUUGUCAGAGCUACCUGAAAAAAUCUGGGUUUUCCAGAAAUGCAACAAAACAGACGGUCAACUCUAGUUUGACCUUCAUUAUCUUUCACUAUGGUUAUGAUCUAAAUGAUCUAAUGACUUGAUUGUGUCGUAGUCAUGUCAUACUACAACAUCAAAACAACAACAUACCAUAUCAACUUAAACACAGCAAGAUAUAUGGCUUGGAAAACCUUGUCAGAAUUUCUGGGUUUCUGGAAAUUUUCUAGGUUGCCCAGAAAAUCAUUCCGUGAUCGGUCAACUAGGUUUGACCGUUAAUAACUCAAGAUCUAGACAUGAUUUGGGCUUGAUUCAAGUUCCAGAUCAAAGCCCUUAC
rnacentral:lncRNA from 1 species